UACGGAGGGUGCGAGCGUUGUCCGGAUUUAUUGGGCGUAAAGAGCGUGUAGGCGGCCGCACAGGUCCGUUGUGAAAACUGGAGGCUUAACCUUCAGACGUCGAUGGAAACCGUGCGGCUAGAGUCCGGAAGAGGAGAAUGGAAUUCCUGGUGUAGCGGUGAAAUGCGCAGAUAUCAGGAAGAACACCCGUGGCUAAGGCGGUUCUCUAGUACGGUACUGACGCUGAGACGCGAAAGCGUGGGGAGCGAACAGG
rnacentral:rRNA from 1 species